GAAUUCGCCCUUAGAGUUUGAUCCUGGCUCAGGACGAACGCUGGCGGCGUGCCUAACACAUGCAAGUCGAACGGAGCUUGCCCCUUCGGGGACAAGCUUAGUGGCGGACGGGUGAGUAACGCGUGAGUAACCUGCCUUUCAGUGGGGGACAACAGUUGGAAACGACUGCUAAUACCGCAUAAUGUUUCGAGAGGGCAUCCUUUUGAAACCAAAGAUUUAUUGCUGAAAGAUGGACUUGCGUCUGAUUAGCUAGUUGGUGGGGUAACGGCCCACCAAGGCGACGAUCAGUAGCCGGACUGAGAGGUUGAACGGCCACAUUGGGACUGAGAUACGGCCCAGACUCCUACGGGAGGCAGCAGUGGGGAAUAUUGGGCAAUGGGGGAAACCCUGACCCAGCAACGCCGCGUGAAGGAAGAAGGCCUUCGGGUUGUAAACUUCUUUUACCAGGGACGAAGAACGUGACGGUACCUGGAGAAAAAGCCACGGCUAACUACGUGCCAGCAGCCGCGGUAAUACGUAGGUGGCAAGCGUUGUCCGGAUUUACUGGGUGUAAAGGGCGUGUAGGCGGAGCUGCAAGUCAGAUGUGAAAUCUAGGGGCUCAACCCCUAAACUGCAUUUGAAACUGUAGCCCUUGAGUAUCGGAGAGGCAAGCGGAAUUCCUAGUGUAGCGGUGAAAUGCGUAGAUAUUAGGAGGAACACCAGUGGCGAAGGCGGCUUGCUGGACGACAACUGACGCUGAGGCGCGAAAGCGUGGGGAGCAAACAGGAUUAGAUACCCUGGUAGUCCACGCUGUAAACGAUGAAUACUAGGUGUGGGAGGACUGACCCCUUCCGUGCCGCAGUUAACACAAUAAGUAUUCCCCCUGGGG
rnacentral:rRNA from 1 species